AAAAUAAAUUGAAAAAACAUAUUUCUGGUUGCAGGGAUUACAUUAAGUAUAUAAUGAAAGAUACACAACCUAGCAUGAACCAAAUUUCAUAACAUGAGAAGAAGAAAACGAAACCUAACCUCAAUAACGUUUACAUAAUCAUUUUUUUUAUGUGAAAACAAUGACCUAAAAUGUUCCAUACGAUUAACAUAUGAAGUUUCCCAAGAACGGAUUCAACAACCUUAGUCAAAAUAAAACAAAAUCAGCAACUUAAAUUAAAUAAAAGAUUUAAUUUCAAACAAAAUUAAUCACAUCAUACCUGUAUAAAGUGACAAUCAUGCACCAACCCAAUGGUAAUAAGGCGGUGCCUUGACUGAGAUA
rnacentral:lncRNA from 1 species